UCGGAACACAGCUUUAUCCCCUGUGGUGGGCACAGGACACAUUUUUACCUCCGCCCACAGGCUAGACACUCUGCCUACUCUCUCCUCUUCCUGAAGAUCUGGGCCUAGCCCAGCCAUGGGGAGGAUACUACUCACUUGGCUCUGCCAACGUCUGUGUAUUGGGGAACAUUGGGUGGGGCGGGUGAACCUGGGGAAGAAAGGGAAGAACCAGGGGAUUGGGGAAAGACAGGCAGUGACACACCCUCAGGUAAGGUGAUUGGGUGAGGUUUCUCCACAAACUCAGGGACGCUCUCGCCGGCAGGGAUGUUGGAACUCCGGGUCACCAAAUUGAAGAACUCCACUGUGCUGGAGGACUUCCUCGUCACGACUUCCUCUGUGGGAGCAGACCCAUGGACUUGACGGUCAGUGAGGCAGGGUCAGCCUCAGGCUUGAUGUCCAUCACGCAGUCAAACACAGGAGUCUCGGGCACCGGAUCCAGGUCCAGGAAGUCAUCUUCGACUUUCUCCUCCAUCCACUCUGAGUAGCUAUCUUGGGGAAGAAGUGGAAGACUGUCCCUCAACCCACCCGCUCUCCAGGUCCUCAUGAGGCCUGUGACAUCCUUACCAGGAACUGUGAGGCAGCGAACAGGCACAGGCUGCUCCUGACAGUGAGGGAGUGGCUCCCGGUGCCUUGAGGUGGUGGUUUCUGAGCUGGCUCUGAGGGUGGUGGGGGCGGUGGCAUCUCUCUCUGCACACUGGGGAGCCCUUUGGCCUCGUCCAGCGCCUCCAUCACUACCGGCUGGGGGAGACCUGUGCAAGGUGGGACACACAGGCCAAUUACACCAGGCCCUGCCCGUGCACAGGGUUCUGCUGACCCACGGUGGACAGUUCCUUCUGGAGUUGCUGUGGCUUCCUCCCAAUCCGGGAUCAGUCAGCGUGGCUCCUCUUCCAGCAGUCACCCUCGAUUAGCAAAGCAAUAUUCACCUACCUUCGUCAGAAAGAGCUAAGUGUGGGUGGACAAAUUAUUUCUCUUUUAUUUCUCCAGUAACAGAGUUAAAAUGGCAGGAGGUUUUUCAGAGUUAAUAUCGUUGUAUUUACGCAGCUUCAUUCUUUUCCAUUUCUUAAGGAAACAAAAAACAACCACCUCAAACUCGAUUAAAAAAGAAAGAAAGAAAGAAAAAAAAAGACACAGCAUAACCAGGCCGUGACCCUGAACAACCCACCUACGCCUGCUCUCUGGAGUUUUGUUUUUCGUGGUCUGUGUCCUGACAGGGGCUGAAAGCUGGACUGUUAAUAUCACAGCCACGUGCCUCCCCUACCUUGGGACCCCCACACUGAGAGGGGGUGGGCAAUCUGGGGGAUGUAGAAGAAAAUCUUGGUGUAGUAAGAUCGAUAGCACAUGUUGGGGUUGAGCUCAGGGUCUGUCCGUGGUUGGUGUGGCCUCAGGAGAGUCACUUCCUUUUCGAAUCUCAGUUUCCCCACCUGAAAAGUGGGGGAUGGGCUCAACCCCUGUUUUUCUAAUUGUGCUUUUCGGAGCUCCAGGGUUUCUUGGGUGCAGCAGGGGCUGUUACCAAGUGCCUGGAGUUCCUAUGCCUGUGUCUCAGCAUGGAAGCUAUUCCUGUUCCCAUUCCAUAUGCUGGGCUUCUGUUACGAUGAUUUCAACAGUUCUACCAACACAUCCGACGACCACUGGCUACUCCAGUGCUAUCCAUCCUGGUGAGUCCACAUGUUGGUCCCCACCCAAACUCAUGUCUCAGUUUAUCACCCAGAAGGGCAAGACCAACAAAACGGAUGUGUACGGCUUGUUAGCUGGGAUGGAGCUGCCCACACAUCACUGUGCAGAUGGGACAAUGGACUUCUUUUCUGGUUGGGGUACAACAGAACCAGAGGAGACCAACACAGCUGUUUGUGCAUAUGCCUCCUCACUCAUGCCACAAACACUUCCGGAGCCUCUUACAGCCCAGAUCAACAGUGGAAUACACAGCCCUGAUCCUGGAUACACCCGUGUGAACAUAAUAGGUUCCCCCUUUCCAGCUGGUUUCUCUUCUUUUUAAAAAGUUUGUUUUAACUAGUUAUACAUGACAGUCGAAUGCACUUUGAUACAUCAUAUAUAAUGGAGUAUAAUAUCUCAUUCUUCUGGUUGUACAUGAUGUAGAAUCACACUGGUCGUACAAUUAUGUAUGUACAUAGGGUAAUAAUGUCUGAUUCAUUCUACUAUCCUUCCUACCCCAUACCUCCUCCCGUCACUCCCCUCUACCUAAUCUAAAGUAACUCUAUUCUUCCCUAACCUUGCCCCCAUUGUGAAUUAGCAUCCUUAUAUAAGAGAAAACAUUCAGCUUUUGGUUUUUUGGGAUUGGCUUACUUCACUUAGCAUGAUAUUCUCCAACUUCAUGCAUUUACUGGCCAAUGCCAUAAUUUCAUUCUUCUUUAAGGCUGAGUAAUAGUCUAUCAUUCAUAUAUGUGUGUGUAUAUUAUAUAUAUUAUAUAUGUAAUAUAUAUAAUAUAUACUAUAUCUAUAUAUCUAUAUAAUUUUUUAUCCAUUCAUCUGUUGAAGGGCACCUAGGUUGGUUCCAUACUUUGGCUAUUAUGAAUUGAGAGCUGCUAUAAACAUUGAUGUGGCUACAUCACUGUAGUAUGCUGAUUAUAAGUCCUUUGGGUAUAAACUGAGGAGUGAGAUAGCUGGGUCAAACGGUGGUUCCAUUCCAAGUUCUCUAAGGAAUCUCCAUACAAAUUUUCAUAAUGAUUGCUCCAAUUUGCAUUCCCACCAGCAAAGUAUGAGUGUACCUUUUCCCCCACAUCAUCGCCAAAAUUCAUUGUUGUUUAUAUUCUUGAUAAUUGCCAUUCUGAUUGAUUGUAUUUCUUCUUCUGUGAAGUAUCUGUUCAGUUCCUUAGCCUAUUUAUUGACUGGAUUAUUUAUUGUUUUUGGUGUUAAGUUUUUUUGAAUUCUUUAUAUAUCCUGGAGAUUAAUGCUCUAUCUGAGGUGUGUGUGGUAAAGAUUUUCUCCUUUUCUUUAUGCUCUCCCUUUCAUAUUAUUGUUUCUUUUGUGGAGAAGUUUUUUAGUUUAAAAUCUGUCCAAUUUAUUGAUCCUUGAUUUUACUUCUUGCACUUUAGGAAUCUCAUUAAGGAAGUCAGAUUCUACACUCACAUGGUGAUGAUCUGGGCCUACUUUUUCUUCUGUUAGGCCCAGGAUCUCUGGUCUAGUGCCUAAGUCUUUGGUCCACUUUGAGUUGAGUUUCAUGCAGGGUUAGGGGUUUAAUUUCAUUUUAUUACAUGUAUUUCCAAUUUUCCCAGUACCAUUUAUUAAAUAGUCUAUCUUUUUCUCCAGUGAAUGUUUUUGGAAUCUUUUUGUAGUAUGAGAUAACUGUAUUUAUGCAGGUUUGUCUCUGUGUCUUCUAUUUUGUACCAUUGGUCUAUGUGUCUGUAUUAGUGCCAAUAUCAUGCUGAUUUUGAUACUAUGGCUUUUUAGUACAGUUUAAGGUCUGGUAUUGUGAUACCUCCUUCUUUAUUCUUAUUGCUAAAGAUUGCUUUGGCUAUUCUGGGUUUUUAGUUUUUCCAAAUGAAUUUUAUGAUUGCUUUUUCUAGUUCUAUGAAGAAUGUUAUUGGGAUUUUAAUUAGAAUUUCAUUAAAUCUGUAUAAUGCUUUUGGUAGUAUGGCCAUUUUGACAAUAUUAAUUCUGCCUAUCCAGGAGCAUGGGAGAUCUUUCCAUCUUCUAAGGUCUACUUCAAUUUCUUUCUUUAGUGUUUUGUAAUUUUCAUUGUAGAGGUCUUUUAUCUCUUUUGUUAGAUUGAGUCCCAGGUAUUUUAUUUUUUGAAGCUAUUGCAAAUGGGGUAGUUUUUCUAAUUUCUCUUUCAGUAGAUUCAUCACUGAUGUAUAGAAACACGUUUAUGGGUGUUGAUUUUAUAACCUGCUUCUUUGCUGAACUCAUUUAGGAGUUUUGAAAGUUUUCCUGGUGGAAUAUUUUGGCUCUUUGAAAUAUAGAAUCAUGUCAUCAGAAAAUAGUGAUAGUUUAAGUUCUUCUUUUCCUAUUUGUAUCCCUUAAAUUUCUUUCUCCUGUCUAAUUCCCCUGGCUAGAGUUUCAAGGACAAUGUUGAGUAGUAGCAGUAAAAGAGGGCAUCCUUGUCUUGUUCCAGUUUUUAGAAAGAAUUCUUUCAAUUUUUCUCCUUUUAGAAUGAUGUUGGUCUUGGGUUUGGCAUAUAUAGUUUUUAUGAAGUUGAGGUAUGUCCCUACUAUCCCUAGUUUUUUCAGUGUUUUGUACAUGAGGAGGUGCUAUAUUUUGUCAAAUGUUUUUUUUUUUCUGAAUCUACUGAGAAGAUCAUAUAUUCUUGUUUUUACGUCUAUUGAUGUGAUUUAUUAAUUUAUUGAUUUCCAUAUGUUGAACCAACCUUUUAUCCCUGGGAUGAACCACACUUGAUUGUGGUGCACUAUCUUUUAAAUAUGGUUUUGUAUGAAGUUUGCCAGAAUUUUAUAGAGAAUUUUUGCAUUUAUGUUCAUCAGGGAUAUUUUUCUUAAGUUUUCUUUCUUUGAUGUGUCUUUGUCUGGUUUUGGUAUCAGGGUGAGAUUAGCCUCAUAGAAUGAGUUUGGAAGGACUCCCUCCUUUUCUAUUUCAUGGAAUACUUUGAGGAGUAUUGGUGUUAAUCAUUCUUUGAAGGUCUUAUAGAACUUGGCUGAUAAUCCAUCUGGUCCUGGGCUUUUCUUUAUUGGUAGGCUUUUGAUGGUGUUUUCUAUUUCAUUACUUGUAAUUGAUCUGUUUAAAUCGUGUGUAUCUUCCUGAUUCAGUUUGGGUAGGUCAUCUCUGAAAUCUGUCGAUGUCUUCAAGGUUUUCUAUUUUAUUGGAGUAUAAAUUUUCAAAAUAGUUUCUAAUUAUCUUCUGUAUUUCAGUCAUGUCCAUUGUGAUAUUUCCUUUUUCAACACAUUUUUAAGUAAUUUGAGUUUUCUCUCUUUUUCUCUUUGUUAGCAUGGCUAGGGAUUUAUUUUUCCAAAUAACCAAUUUUGUAUUAUCAAUUUUUUUUCAGUUGUUUCUUUUGUUUCAAUUUCAUUGAUUUUAAUUAUUUCCUGUCUUCUACUGUUUUUUGGUGUUGAUUUAUAUUUCUUUUUCUAGGGCUUUGAGUUGUAAUGUUAGGUCAUUUAUUUGUUGACUUUUUAUUCUUUUAAUGAAUGAGCUCAAUGCAAUGAACUUUCCUCUUAGCCCUGCCUUCAAGGUGUCCCAAAGAUUUUGAUAUGUUGUACACUAUUCUCAUUUACCUCUAAGUAUUUUUAAAUUUCAUCUCUGAUUUCUUCAUUUUCCAUUCAUCAUUCAAUAGUGUAUUAUUUAGUCUCCAGGUGUUAGAGAGUAGCUUUUAUUUUUUAUUCUAUCAUUGAUUUCUAAUUUUAUUUCAUUAUGAUCUGAUAGGAUGCAGUGUAUUAUCUCUAUUUUUUUUUUGUAUUUGCAAAGAGUUGCUUUAGGACAUAAGAUAUGGUCUAUUUUAGAGAAGGAUCCAUGUGCUGCUGAGAACAAAAUAUAUUUGCUCAUUGAUGGAUGAAAUAUUCUAUAUAUGUUAAGUAUAAAUUAUUGAUUAUAUUAUUUAGAUCUAGAGUUUCUUUGUUUAGCUUUUGUUUGGAAGAUCUAUCCAGUGAAAGAGGUGUGUUAAAGUCACCCAGUAUUAUUGUGCUGUGAUCUAUUUAAUUCUUGAAGUUGGGAAGGGUUUGUUUGAUGUACGUAGAUGCUUCAUUGUUUGGGGCAUAAAUAUUUAUGAUUGUUAUGUCUUAUUGAUGUAUAAUUCCCUAAAGAAGUAUGAAAUGUCCUUCUUUGUCCCUUCUGAUUAACUUGGGCUUGAAGUCUACUUUAUCUGAUAUGAGGAUAGAAACCCCUGCUUGUUUACAUGAUCCACACAAUCUAUAUGUUUUUUCCCAUUCUUUCACCCUCAGUCUAUGGAUGUCUUUGUUUAUGAGGUGAGUCUCUUGGAGACAGCAUAUUGUUGGGUCUUAUUUUUUGAUCAAACUUGCCAAUCUGUGUCUUUUGAUUGAUCAGUUUACGCCAUUAAUAUUCAAGGUUAUUAUUGAGAUAUUAUUUGUGCCCCAGUUGUUUUAUUUUUGUUUUUUUAAUUUGACUUAAUUUAUCCUUUGAUUUGACUAUUUUGACUAUUCCUUUGGCAUUGUUCCUCUCUUCGUUGGUUUUCACUUUUUUUUCCCUCACUUCUUCCUCAUGCUUUCUGGUUGUGAGUUCUUUUAACUUCUGUUUAUCAUGGAAGGCUUUUAUUUCAUCUUCAAAUCCGAAACAAUUUUGCUGGACAUAAAAUUCUUGGUUGGCAUCCGUUUUCUUUCAGAGCUUGAAAUAUAUUAUUCCAGGACCUUCUAGCUUUGAGGUUCUAGGUUGAGAAAUCAGUUGAGAUCCGAAUUGGUUUCCCUCUAUAUGUAAUUCAUUUUUUUUCUUAUGGCCUUUAAGAUUUUAUCUUUAUUCUCUGUUAGUCAUUCUCAUUAUAAUGUGUCUUGGUGUGGGUCUGCUGCAAUUUUGUACAUUUGGGGUUCUACAGGCCUCUUGUAUUUGAUUUCCCAUUUUAUUCUUUAGAUUUGGGAAAUUUUCUGAUAUUACCAUUAAAGAUAUCAUGCAUUUAUUUGUUUUUUAUCUCUGCUCCUUCAUCACCUCGAUAACUCUUAAAAUUUGGUCUUUUCAUGUUAUCCCAUAAUUCUUGAAUGUUCUGUUCAUGUUUUUUUACCAUCUUCUCUGCAUGGUCAACUCUGUUUUCAAGAUUAUAUAUUUUUUCUUCAUUGCCUGAAGUUCUGUCUUCCAAGUGGUCUAGUCUGUUGGUAAUGCUUUCUAUUGAAUUUAUAAUUUGGUUUAUUGAUUCCUUCAUUUCAAGGAUUUCUGCUUGUUUUUUUUUUGUCACAAUCUUUAACUCUUUAUUGAACUGAUCUUUCACUUCCUGGGUUUUUUCUUUGAUUUCACUCCUUAUAUUAUCCUUUACUUUGCAGAUUAGUUUAACCAUGUACAUUCUAAACUCCUUCUCUGACAUUUCUUCUACUGUGUUGUCAGUGGAUUCUGUCUUUGGAGCAUCUUGGUUUGUUUGGGGCACUUUAUUCCCCUGUUUUUUUUUUCUUCAUUUUAUUCAUGUGUUUUCCCAUCUAGCAGUAUGGAUCUAAGGCAGCACAAAUUCUACCCUGAAGACCUAUAGUGUCCCUGAAGUUUCUAGCACCUUGCCUUCAAGGGGGGAGACCAACAUUAAUAGCAUCCAAUGUAAACCACACACAGCCCCAAACCCACGAGAUCCUAUCAAGACUUCCACAGUUUUCUCUCAACAAACAGAAAUGACAAGUUCAAUUACUGUGCACACUAUAUACAGCAAAUUUGCUAAAAGGUUUCACAAUCCCAAAUGUUGGAGAAAGAGAGAACAGAAGUGGUGCAGGGCUUGAUGUUCACGAGGAAGGAGGACAGAAGCCAGAAGCAAAAACUUAUAGUAAGAGUGGAAGAGGAAUUGACAGAGAUUGACUGUUAUUGAAGAAAAGAUAGAGAAUCCUUGAAAGCAGACAAGUGAGAGGAAAAAUAUAUACAAUAAAAAAUUAAAAAUAUAAGCCUACACAACAAAACUGCAAAAUACCAUCCAUACACCAGUCAACAAAAUCAUGCAUGAAAACUACCUGGUCCCCAAAAUAGUAGAAAUGCUAGAGAAGAGAUUUAAAAAAUAUUUAAAAACAAAACAAGCCAAAACAACAACAACAACAACAACAACCAUCACCAAACCCUAAAACCAAAACCAAAAACCUCAAUGGAAAACUGAACAAUUGUUUGCUUCAGAGUUCAAAGUUCUCUCAGUCCUGACUGAUUCUUCAUGGGAUCACCAGGCCCAGAUGAGCCCAUACAGACUCUGUCGCUAUCCCACAGAUCUGGAUUUCAGAUGUUCCAGUCUUGGCUACAUUGCAUUCCCAAAAUCUCAAUGCUGUUCCAAUUUGCAGAGAGAUCACCAAGGGAUGUGCUCACAUAGAAGAGCCACCCUGAAAAGAAGCUGCAAGAUGGCAGUCACCAGCACUCCCAACAGGAAGACUCUAGGUGCAGCCAACCCUGCAGGCACUCUGACCCAGGACCUCCAGGUCCCAAAACUAUGUCCCCAAACAGAGGCGGCUGUUCCCCAGAUGGCAGUGGUGGCAAAGCGGCUGGCACUCUGACCCCCUGACCUCCAGGCGCUGGCUGGAGUCCCAAGAUGGAGGUGGCCGCGUGAAACCAAACCUGCGGGAAUACGGCUGUGGACCUCUGGGCAGCGGAGCGGGUCAGUGGCGGCGAUCUUCGGCAGCAGCACUGGUUGGUGGUAAUGGCGCCCGGAACAAAGACCUCCCUGUGACAGUAGGAGAGGUGUAGGAAGCAGUGUAGGCAGAGAGAAGACCUCUGGGCUAUGAUGGUGACCUCACAGAGAAAAGACCAAGUCUGGGACAGCAGUGUGGGGAGCAGAGGCGUUGGGGUGGCGAUGUAGGCUGCAGCUGCGUGCCGUGCUGGGAGAAAAGACCUUCCUGCCAUGGCGGCAGAGACAGUACGUCCUCGAGUGCGGCAGCGGUCUGUUGGCAGCGCUCCUGCCUGGUUCCUCUUCUGCUGUGCAUCAGCUGUGGCCUUGUAGUUCCUCAGUUUUUGGUGGUCACCACAUCUUUAUUUUAUUUUAUGUGAUGCCGAGGAUCAAACCCAGCGCCCCGCACAUGCCAGGUACAGUCGUGUUCUCCACCCUGGCUGAUCUCUCUGAAGAAGGGAAUGUGGAAGAUGUGGUAUCACAGGACUGUGAGGACAGCUUCUUCCAGAUCCUCUGCUGGAACUAGUUUGAAACUAGUAGUUCUACCCCAGAGUAUAAACAUCGAAGAAAUUUUCAUAUGGUGCCUAAAUGAGUAUGCAAAUCAACGUUUCCUGCAGUGGAGGCAUCUGCAAGCCCAUUGCUCUGGCUGGACUCCUAUUGGAGAGAAGCAGGCCUAAGAGGCUGAGUGUGACCAUGGUUGGUCUUGCUGCUGGAUGCCAGGAUCAACAGGAUGAAGGACUGGAGGCCCGGCAAGGUUAAAUGACUUGUCCAUGAACACACAGCCUGUAAACAGAUCAACCAGACUUAAAUGCCAAAGCCCGUGCCUUUUCCUCCACACCAUGGCUACUCUCUGGACUCCUAUACAUCACGUCCCACUUUCUGUGGAUUUUUUUUCUAUCCAGAGGGGCCAUCCCUGAUUGUAGAAUCAUCUCUGAAUUCUAUGACUCAUCUCUGAAUCACAGAACUGUUUAAUAGUUGAAAGGGACUUUUGAUGUCAUCUAGACCUCCCACCCACUGUGGAAAUUUCCUCUCCAAUGCUGUAUUCUCAAUACUUGAAUGACUCCAGUGAUGAAACACUAAUUCUCUUCCUCUGGAAUCAUUAAGUUCUAUGACUGGAUCACUUUUAGAGACAGAAAGUAAGUUCUGUAUCCCUUGGGCCAACAGGUCUCUCUUUCAUUUUUACAUACUGGGCUUACAUCCUCCUCCUAAGGCACACAGAAUGGGUCUGCUGACCUUCCAUGUGAUGGCUGCAGAUAUUGAGACAUCCCUUCAGAGAACUCUUUUCUUCAAGCUUGCUGUUCUGGUCCCCACAACUCUUCUGUGAGAUGCUCCGUCCCAGACUAGCUCAAAGGUCCCUCCAAAGGGAGCAAUGGCUCCCCUACUGGACAAGGGGUGAACUGCACCGAAGGGCUCACUAGGCAGGAUAGCUGAGGAGCUUCCUGGGGAGCCUGGGCACCAACACUGGUGUGAAUAAAAUAACUGCCUUUUCUCUCUC